GACGGAGGAUGCAAGCGUUAUCCGGAAUUAUUGGGCGUAAAGCGUCCGCAGGUGGACAUACAAGUCUGCUGUCAAAGUGCAGAGCUUAACUCUGUAAAGGCGGUGGAAACUGUAGGUCUUGAGUAUGGUAGGGGUAGAGGGAAUUCCCGGUGUAGCGGUGAAAUGCGUAGAUAUCGGGAAGAACACCAGUGGCGAAAGCGCUCUACUGGGCCAUAACUGACACUGAGGGACGAAAGCUAGGGGAGGCGAAAGGG
rnacentral:rRNA from 1 species